rnacentral:rRNA from 1 species
CCUACGGGCGGCAGCAGUGAGGAAUAUUGGUCAAUGGGCGCAAGCCUGAACCAGCCAAGUAGCGUGCAGGAUGAAUGCCCUACGGGUUGUAAACUGCUUUUGUACGGGGAUAAAGUGAGGCACGUGUGCCGUUCUGCAGGUACCUUGUGAAUAAGGAUCGGCUAACUCCGUGCCAGCAGCCGCGGUAAUACGGAGGAUCCGAGCGUUAUCCGGAUUUAUUGGGUUUAAAGGGAGCGUAGAUGGGUUGUUAAGUCAGUUGUGAAAGUUUGCGGCUUAACCGUAACAUUGCAGUUGAAACUGGACGCCUUGAGUACAGUACAGGCAGGCGGAAUUCGUGGUGUAGCGGUGAAAUGCAUAGAUAUCACGAAGAACCCCGAUUGCGAAGGCAGCCUACCAAACUGCCACUGACGCUGAGGCUCGAAAGUGCGGGUAUCAAACAGGAUUAGAUACCCUGGUAGUC